rnacentral:tmRNA from 1 species
GGGGCCGUCACGGUUUCGACGGGGGAAUGUUCGGCUUAGACAGCAGCAAGGUGGCGACUUACCGCCAAAAAACAAUAACUGACAACAACACUGUCAAACCUUGGAUGCUUGGUGCCAACCAGGCAGCCUUCGCUCGCGCCUAAUUUAGAGCACCUAUAAGGUUCCGCGCAUCGCGGACGAGCACGUCACCCUCUGCGUUCGCGUUUUGGCAGAGGCUUGGCGCAACCAAAAGACGAUAAGCUUGCGCAUUGGCUGGUGCGCGUAGACGAAAACUUCACAGCCGCGUCACGGACAAUACUGGGCCCCAUCAAUGCCCGUGACUACUAGAUGAGGCCUAAGCUGUAGAUGUCUUUGAUGAAGGUCCCUCGGACCGGGGUUCAAUUCCCCGCGACUCCACCA